GGGGAAUAUUGCACAAUGGGCGAAAGCCUGAUGCAGCAACGCCGCGUGAGUGAAGAAGGUCUUCGGAUUGUAAACCUUUGUCCUUGGUGACGAUAAUGACGGUAGCCAAGGAGGAAGCUCCGGCUAACUACGUGCCAGCAGCCGCGGUAAUACGUAGGGAGCAAGCGUUGUCCGGAUUUACUGGGUGUAAAGGGUGCGUAGGCGGCUCUGCAAGUCAGGCGUGAAAACUAUGGGCUUAACCCAUAGACUGCGUUUGAAACUGUGGGGCUUGAGUGAAGUAGAGGUAGGCGGAAUUCCCGGUGUAGCGGUGAAAUGCGUAGAGAUCGGGAGGAACACCAGUGGCGAAGGCGGCCUACUGGGCUUUAACUGACGCUGAAGCACGAAAGCAUGGGUAGCAAAC
rnacentral:rRNA from 1 species